UUUUUUAGCAGUUUUAAAAUUUUUCCAAUCCUCUCUGAUCUCGGAAGCUAAGCAGGGUCGGGCCCUGUUAAUACUUGGGUGGGUGACCACCUCGGAAGACCAGGUGCUGAAGGCA
rnacentral:rRNA from 1 species